ACGGGUGUAGCUCAAUUGGUAGAGCACCGGUCUCCAAAACCGGGGGUUGCGGGUUCGAUUCCCUCCGCCCGUGC
rnacentral:tRNA from 1 species